UGAAAGCCUGGGACUGUAUGACUGUAAGGU
rnacentral:piRNA from 2 species